rnacentral:rRNA from 1 species
AUUGAACGCUGGCGGCAGGCCUAACACAUGCAAGUCGAGCGGCAGCGGGAAAGUAGCUUGCUACUUUUGCCGGCGAGCGGCGGACGGGUGAGUAAUGCCUGGGAAAUUGCCCAGUCGAGGGGGAUAACAGUUGGAAACGACUGCUAAUACCGCAUACGCCCUACGGGGGAAAGCAGGGGCCCUUCGGGCCUUGCGCGAUUGGAUAUGCCCAGGUGGGAUUAGCUAGUUGGUGAGGUAAUGGCUCACCAAGGCGACGAUCCCUAGCUGGUCUGAGAGGAUGAUCAGCCACACUGGAACUGAGACACGGUCCAGACUCCUACGGGAGGCAGCAGUGGGGAAUAUUGCACAAUGGGGGAAACCCUGAUGCAGCCAUGCCGCGUGUGUGAAGAAGGCCUUCGGGUUGUAAAGCACUUUCAGCGAGGAGGAAAGGUCAGUAGCUAAUAUCUGCUGACUGUGACGUUACUCGCAGAAGAAGCACCGGCUAACUCCGUGCCAGCCGCCGCGGUAAGAC